GGCGUCAUGGCAGAGUGGUUAUUGCGGGGUACUGUUAAUACCUUUUUUCAGGGGUUCGAAUCCUCUUGGGGCCU
rnacentral:tRNA from 1 species